AUGGCCGGGAGGAAGGUUGGCGAGAGGAAGAAGGCGGUGACCCGGUCCGUCAAGGCCGGGCUCCAGUUCCCCGUCGGCCGCAUCGGGCGCUUCCUCAAGAAGGGCCGCUACGCGCAGCGCGUCGGCUCCGGCGCCCCCGUCUACCUCGCCGCCGUCCUCGAGUACCUCGCCGCCGAGGUCCUGGAGCUGGCCGGCAACGCGGCCAAGGACAACAAGAAGACCCGCAUCGUGCCGCGGCACCUGCUUCUCGCCGUCCGCAACGACCAGGAGCUCGGCAGGCUGCUGGCCGGCGUCACCAUCGCCCACGGCGGCGUGAUCCCCAACAUCAACCCCGUGCUGCUCCCCAAGAAGUUGGCCGCCGCCGCCGAGAAGGAGGCCACCAAGUCGCCCAAGAAGAAGGCCGCCGCCAAGUCCCCCAAGAAGAAGGUCGCCGCCACCAAGGAGUAG
rnacentral:rRNA from 1 species